UACGCAAAUCUUGGUCAUAAAAUUUUGACAUUUGCUUCCCUCUCUUUUCGCCCUAAUUUGUGACAUUUACAUGUAAUCUUUCUUUGAUGCUAGAUUAUGCGCUGCUGCGAGUUAAGCUUUCCAGAAGAUUUUCAGCAGCAGUUGGAUACGCAGUCAAUUGAAGCAUGCGGCAAAAGCUAUGCCUAUUAAAUGAGCAAUUGAAUGCAUGAUUGAUCGAAUGAAGCAGAAUGAAUGGCUUAUGAUGCAUUUCGAACUUAAUACUAGAAGGAGCGGAGCUCAGCUUCUCUUCUUUCUCCUGCUGUUCCUGCUGCUCCAGUGUAUCAUACAGAGGGGCAUUCUUCGUCUCCGGCAACCAAAAUGUGAUGCUCCCGCUG